AAGCGGUGGAGCAUGUGGCUUAAUUCGAGGCUACGCGAAGAACCUUAUCCCGGGCUUGACAUGUGCGAAAGCGGCAAGAAGUAGCCCGCGGAAACGUGGGGCGAACGGUACCCAGUCCGGAACUUGCUACAGGUGCUGCAUGGCUGUCGUCAGCUCGUGUCGUGAGAUGUCGGGUUAAGUCCCAUAACGAGCGAAACCCCUGCCCUCAGUUGCCUAUUGGGACUCUGGGGGGACUGCCGGUGUCAAACCGGAGGAAGGUGGGGAUG
rnacentral:rRNA from 1 species